rnacentral:rRNA from 1 species
UAAGGAAUAUUGGUCAAUGGGGGCAACCCUGAACCAGCCAUGCCGCGUGCAGGAAGACGGCCCUACGGGUUGUAAACUGCUUUUGUACGGGAAUAAACCUCUCUUCGUGAAGAGAGCUGAACGUACUGUAAGAAUAAGGAUCGGCUAACUCCGUGCCAGCAGCCGCGGUAAUACGGAGGAUCCAAGCGUUAUCCGGAUUUAUUGGGUUUAAAGGGUGCGUAGGCGGCCUAUUAAGUCAGGGGUGAAAGACGGUGGCUCAACCAUCGCAGUGCCUUUGAUACUGAUAGGCUUGAUUACACUUGAGGUAGGCGGAAUGUGACAAGUAGCGGUGAAAUGCAUAGAUAUGUCACAGAACACCAAUUGCGAAGGCAGCUUACUAAGGUGUUAAUGACGCUGAGGCACGAAAGCGUGGGGAUCAAACA